CAAAAAGCCGGUCUCAGUUCGGAUUGGGGUCUGCAACUCGACCCCAUGAAGUCGGAGUCGCUAGUAAUCGCAGAUCAGCAUUGCUGCGGUGAAUACGUUCCCGGGCCUUGUACACACCGCCCGUCACGUCACGAAAGUCGGUAACACCCGAAGCCGGUGGCCCAACCCCCUUGUGGGGAGGGAGCUGUCGAAGGUGGGACUGGCGAUUGGGACAAGUCGUAACAAGGUAGCCGUACCGGAAGGUGCGGCUGGGAUCACCUCCUUU
rnacentral:ncRNA from 1 species